rnacentral:rRNA from 1 species
UACAGAGGUCUCAAGCGUUGUUCGGAUUCAUUGGGCGUAAAGGGUGCGUAGGUGGCGCCGUAAGUCAGGUGUGAAAUUUCGGAGCUUAACUCCGAAACUGCAUUUGAUACUGCGGUGCUUGAGGACUGGAGAGGAGACUGGAAUUCAUGGUGUAGCAGUGAAAUGCGUAGAGAUCAUGAGGAAGACCAGUGGCGAAGGCAGGUCUCUGGACAGUUCCUGACGCUGAGGCACGAAGGCCAGGGGAGCAAACGGG